GCAGUAACACGUAGUCAACAUGCCCAGGGGACGUGGAUAACCUCGGGAAACUGAGGAUAAACCGCGAUAGGUCAUUAUUUCUGGAAUGAUUGAUGGCCCAAAUCUAUAUGGCCUCUGGAUUGGACUGCGGCCGAUCAGGCUGUUGGUGAGGUGGAUGGCCCACCAAACCUGUUACCGGUACGGGCUCUGAGAGGAGGAGCCCGGAGAUGGGCACUGAGACAAGGGCCCAGGCCCUAUGGGGCGCAGCAGGCGCGAAACCUCUGCAAUAGGCGAAAGCCUGACAGGGUUACUCUGAGUGGUUUCCGCUAAGGAAACCUUUUGGCAACCUCUACAAAUGGUGCAGAAUAAGGGGUGGGCAAGUCUGGUGCCAGC
rnacentral:rRNA from 1 species